UACGUAGGGAGCGAGCGUUGUUCGGAGUUACUGGGCGUAAAGAGUGCGUAGGCGGUUUUCUAAGUUUGGUGUGAAAUCUCCCGGCUUAACUGGGAGGGUGCGCCGAAGACUGGAAGGCUAGAGUAUGGGAGAGGUAAGCGGAAUUCCUGGUGUAGCGGUGAAAUGCGUAGAUAUCUGGAGGAACACCGGUGGCGAAGGCGGCAUCCUGGACCGGCAUUGACGCUGAGGAGCGAAAGCCAGGGGAGCAAACGGG
rnacentral:rRNA from 1 species